rnacentral:rRNA from 1 species
GUGGGGAAUAUUGGGCAAUGGGCGAAAGCCUGACCCAGCAACGCCGCGUGAAGGAAGAAGGUUUUCGGAUCGUAAACUUCUAUCCUUGGUGAAGAUAAUGACGGUAGCCAAGAAGGAAGCCCCGGCUAACUACGUGCCAGCAGCCGCGGUAAUACGUAGGGGGCAAGCGUUGUCCGGAAUGAUUGGGCGUACAGGGCGCGUAGGCGGCCCGGUAAGUCUGAAGUGAAAGUACUGCUUUUAAGGUGGGAAUUGCUUUGGAUACUGUCGGGCUUGAGUGCAGGAGAGGGAAGCGGCAUUCCCGGUGUAGCGGUGAAAUGCGUAGAGAUCGGGAGGAACACCAGUGGCGAAGGCGGCUUACUGGACUGUAACUGACGCUGAGGCGCGAAAGUGUGGGGAGCAAACAGGAUUAGAAACCCGUGUAGUCC